rnacentral:tRNA from 1 species
GGAGGGGUGCAAGAGUGGUUGAUCUGGACGCUCUCGAAAAGCGUUGUGCCGAAAGGUACCGUGGGUUCGAAUCCCACCCCCUCCG